rnacentral:rRNA from 1 species
UACGGGGGGAGCAAGCGUUGUUCGGAUUUACUGGGCGUAAAGGGCGCGUAGGCGGCGCAACAAGUCACUUGUGAAAUCUCCGGGCUUAACCCGGAGCGGUCAAGUGAUACUGUCGUGCUAGAGUGCGGAAGGGGCUACUGGAAUUCUCGGUGUAGCGGUGAAAUGCGUAGAUAUCGAGAGGAACACCAGUGGCGAAGGCGGCAUCCCUGGACCGGCAUUGACGCUGAGGCGCGGAAAAGCCCAGGGGGAGCAAAACGGG